rnacentral:misc_RNA from 1 species
AAAAAAAAAAAAUCAUUUUAGUCUUCUUCUUCCAUUCUUGCCGUCCCUCUCUCUCUCUUGUCUCUCUCUCAAAAUUCCUCCAUGAAAGCUUAUUCUUAAGCUUUCUAAACACCAAAUUUCACUAUAAAUCCUUUAAUUUUCUCGAAGAAAAAUUAUAAGCAAACCUUGGAAAGAAGAUUAAAGGAGAAAGAAAGAAGAAAAAGUUGAAGAA